rnacentral:rRNA from 1 species
GAUGAACGCUGGCGGCGUGCCUAAUACAUGCAAGUCGAGCGAACGGACGAGAAGCUUCUUCUCUGAUGUUAGCGGCGGACGGGUGAGUAACACGUGGAUAACCUACCUAUAAGACUGGGAUAACUUCGGGAAACCGGAGCUAAUACCGGAUAAUAUUUUGAACCGCAUGGUUCAAAAGUGAAAGACGGUCUUGCUGUCACUUAUAGAUGGAUCCGCGCUGCAUUAGCUAGUUGGUAAGGUAACGGCUUACCAAGGCAACGAUGCAUAGCCGACCUGAGAGGGUGAUCGGCCACACUGGAACUGAGACACGGUCCAGACUCCUACGGGAGGCAGCAGUAGGGAAUCUUCCGCAAUGGGCGAAAGCCUGACGGAGCAACGCCGCGUGAGUGAUGAAGGUCUUCGGAUCGUAAAACUCUGUUAUUAGGGAAGAACAUAUGUGUAAGUAACUGUGCACAUCUUGACGGUACCUAAUCAGAAAGCCACGGCUAACUACGUG